rnacentral:lncRNA from 1 species
UUGCUUUUGUCAGCAGACCAAUCACAAGGCGUCCCGAGCCAACAAGAUAAAUCAUUACUUUAUUUAUCUCUCUUUAUAACAUCUAAAAACAAAACCAAGCUCCUUAUCAUUCACGAAUCUCUUGCUCUCUUGUUUAGUUAUUUCCAUCUAUGGAUUCUUCUUCAUCCACUAAUAAUGCAGGCACAGAAGGUACGUUCGGGCUAAUUGGUAUAUGGGUUUUGAUUAUUUGAGAUUCAUGUAAUUAACUAGUAAGUAGUACCUAGCUAGCUUGUAUGAAACUAAUAUAUAUUGUUUAUUUAUGCAGGUCGUCAUCUUCCGCAGUCCGGGUUAAAAGGGGUAUAUAAUCAUAUACUUAAGUUAAAUAAACGUUUUAUGAUCUAGUGACUAGCGGCAUGGUUUUUUGGAAAUCUCUUGUCUAAUUUCUUCUUGAUUAUUUUCCUUCAUCAGCUUCAGAAAAGCAAUUUAAAAGGGACAAAAAAACAAGUGACAGGAGGGAAAAAUACGAUUGAUGAACCAACGAUCACAAAUGGAGCAACGCAGGGAGAGAAGAAAAAUAAAGGAAAUAACAGGAUCUGAAAGUUAGAGAUGAGGAUCAGCUGUACUAUUUAUCUUUUUUUUGAAUAAAAUGUAAAAUUCGUUCGAAAAAAACUGUUUUACAUCUAGUGCAGCGUUUGUGUUGACUGUUUAAAUGAUUAUAAGACAAUGCUCAUAAAAACAAAAGCUAAAGAUAUGAGCUCGUUUUAUCGUGAGGCAAACCAAAGCGCCAUACACCCGUCAUACCUAUGAUCGGCUGUACUAUUUUGCUUUAAGUUUUAUUCGGUCAAGCUGUUUGUAUUUCUUAUUUUCUUAAAUUGUGAAUUGUUUGCUUGAAAACAAAAUGCUUCCGUGAUGUUUACAAUUGUUUGUUUUGAGGUCAUCCACGACAUUAAAUCCAUCUUAUUAUAUAAAGUUUGGUUUUCAAACUAAGUCA